CGCUGGCGGCGUGCCUAACACAUGCAAGUCGAGCGGGACAUUGCGACGGAGACGAAGUACUCGUACGGAGUCAAAGAUGUAAUGUUCUAGCGGCGGACGGGUGAGUAACGCGUGAGCAACCUGUCCCUUACAGGGGGAUAACACAGCGAAAGUUGUACUAAUACCGCAUAAGACCACAGAGUGACAUCGCUCAGGGGUCAAAGGAGCAAUCCGGUAAGGGGUGGGCUCGCGUCCGAUUAGAUAGUUGGUGAGGUAACGGCCCACCAAGUCGACGAUCGGUAGCCGACCUGAGAGGGUGAUCGGCCACAUUGGGACUGAGACACGGCCCAAACUCCUACGGGAGGCUGCAGUGGGGAAUAUUGGGCAAUGGGGGGAAACCCUGACCCAGCAACGCCGCGUGAGGGAAGAAGGUUUUCGGAUCGUAAACCUCUGUCCCAGGUGAAGAGGAAGAGACGGUAGCCUGGGAGGAAGCCCCGGCUAACUACGUGCCAGCCGCGGC
rnacentral:rRNA from 1 species